rnacentral:rRNA from 1 species
GACGAACGCUGGCGGCGUGCCUAAUACAUGCAAGUCGAACGCAGGGGGGACGGGUGAGUAACACGUGGGUAACCUCCCAUCAGAGGGGAUAACACUUGGAAACAGGUGCUAAACCGAUACUGAUGGAUGGAACCGGGGUGGAUGAGCUAGUGGGUGAGGUAACGGCUCACCAAGGCCACGAUGCAUAGCAGACCGGAGAGGGUGACAGGCAAAACGGGAACUGAGACAGGGCCCAGAGUCCUACGGGAGGAAGAAGUGGGGAAUCUUCGGCAAUGGGCGAAAGUCUGACGUAGCAACGCCGCGUGAGGGAAGAAGGUUUUCGGGUCGUAAAACACUGUGGUUAGGGAAGCGGUAUCUAACCAGAAAGCCACGGCUAACUACGUGCCAGCAGCCGCGGUAAUAC